rnacentral:rRNA from 1 species
GGAUUGCCUUAGUAACGGCGAGUGAAGCGGCAACAGCUCAAAUUUGAAAUCUGGCCCGUCUUCGGGUCCGAGUUGUAAUUUGUAGAGGAUGCUUCGGGCAAGGCUGCGGUCCAAGUUCUUUGGAACAGGACGUCAGAGAGGGUGAGAAUCCCGUCUUCAACCGCGCGCCGCGUCCAUGUGAAGCUCCUUCAACGAGUCGGGUUGUUUGGGAAUGCAGCUCAAAAUGGGUGGUAAAUUUCAUCUAAAGCUAAAUACCGGCCAGAGACCGAUAGCGCACAAGUAGAGUGAUCGAAAGAUGAAAAGCACUUUGAAAAGAGAGUUAAACAGCAUGUGAAAUUGUUGAAAGGGAAGCGCUUGCAGCCAGACUUGUGGGCGGUGAUUCAGCCGUUCUUCUGAACGGUGCACUUUGCCGUCUCCAGGCCAGCAUCGGUUUGGGCAGCCAGUUAAAGGCCCGGGGAAUGUAUCAACCUCUCGGGGUUGACUUAUAGCCCCGGGUGCCAUGUGGCUCGUCUAGACCGAGGAACGCGCUCUGCACGGAUGCUGGCGUAAUGGCUGUAAGCGACCCGUCUUGAACCACGG